rfam:Streptoalloteichus hindustanus strain DSM 44523 genome assembly, contig: Ga0131095_103
UCACGCCCGGUCCCAUUCCGAACCCGGAAGCUAAGUCCUCCAGCGCCGAUGGUACUGCACUCGUGGGGGUGUGGGAGAGUAGGACGCCGCCGAAC